UGCAGUCGACGAAGCCUUCGGGCUUAGUGGCGCACGGGUGCGUAACGCGUGGGAAUCUGCCCUUGGGUACGGAACAACAGUUAGAAAUGACUGCUAAUACCGUAUGAUGUCUUCGGACCAAAGAUUUAUCGCCCAGGGAUGAGCCCGCGUUGGAUUAGGUAGUUGGUGGGGUAAAGGCCUACCAAGCCGACGAUCCAUAGCUGGUCUGAGAGGAUGAUCAGCCACACUGGGACUGAGACACGGCCCAGACUCCUACGGGAGGCAGCAGUGGGGAAUAUUGGACAAUGGGCGAAAGCCUGAUCCAGCAAUGCCGCGUGAGUGAUGAAGGCCUUAGGGUUGUAAAGCUCUUUUACCCGGGAAGAUAAUGACUGUACCGGGAGAAUAAGCCCCGGCUAACUCCGUGCCAGCAGCCGCGGUAAUACGGAGGGGGCUAGCGUUGUUCGGAAUUACUGGGCGUAAAGCGCACGUAGGCGGCUUUGUAAGUUAGAGGUGAAAGCCCGGAGCUCAACUCCGGAAUUGCCUUUAAGACUGCAGAGCUAGCAGGUGAGAGAGGUGAGUGGAAUUCCGAGUGUAGAGGUGAAAUUCGUAGAUAUUCGGAAGAACACCAGUGGCGAAGGCGGCUCACUGGCUCAUACUGGACGCUGAGGUGC
rnacentral:rRNA from 1 species